rnacentral:rRNA from 1 species
GGCGGACGGGUGAGUAACGCGUGAGGAACCUGCCUUGAAGAGGGGGACAACAGUUGGAAACGACUGCUAAUACCGCAUGAUGCAUAGGGGUCGCAUGAUCUUUAUGCCAAAGAUUUAUCGCUUCAAGAUGGCCUCGCGUCUGAUUAGCUGGUUGGCGGGGUAACGGCCCACCAAGGCGACGAUCAGUAGCCGGACUGAGAGGUUGAACGGCCACAUUGGGACUGAGAUACGGCCCAGACUCCUACGGGAGGCAGCAGUGGGGAAUAUUGGGCAAUGGGCGCAAGCCUGACCCAGCAACGCCGCGUGAAGGAAGAAGGCUUUCGGGUUGUAAACUUCUUUUAAGAGGGAAGAGCAGAAGACGGUACCUCUAGAAUAAGCCACGGCUAACUACGUGCCAGCAGCCGCGGUAAUACGUAGGUGGCAAGCGUUGUCCGGAUUUACUGGGUGUAAAGGGCGUGCAGCCGGGUCUGCAAGUCAGAUGUGAAAUCCAUGGGCUCAACCCAUGAACUGCAUUUGAAACUGUAGAUCUUGAGUGUCGGAGGGGCAAUCGGAAUUCCUAGUGUAGCGGUGAAAUGCGUAGAUAUUAGGAGGAACACCAGUGGCGAAGG